rnacentral:rRNA from 1 species
GACGAACCGUGCGAACGUUGUUCGGAAUCACUGGGCUUAAAGGGCGCGUAGGCGGGUUCGAAAGUCUGUGGUGAAAGCCUCCAGCUUAACUGGAGAAGUGCCAUGGAUACUGCGAACCUGGAGGAGGGUAGGGGCAUCUGGAACGCUGGGUGGAGCGGUGAAAUGCGUUGAUAUCCAGCGGAACUCCGGUGGCGAAGGCAGCUCGCUGGGACGUUACUGACGCUGAGACGCGAAAGCGUGGGGAGCAAACAGG